rnacentral:sRNA from 1 species
CACCGCCUGGGGAGUACGACCGCAAGGUUAAAACUCAAAUGAAUUGACGGGGACCCGCACAAGUAGUGGAGCAUGUGGUUUAAUUCGAAGAUACGCGCAGAACCUUACCAACACUUGACAUGUUCGUCGCGACUUUAAGAGAUUAAAGUUUUCGGUUCGGCCGGACGAAACACAGGUGCUGCAUGGCUGUCGUCAGCUCGUGUCGUGAGAUGUUGGGUUAAGUCCCGCAACGAGCGCAACCCUCACUUUUAGUUGCCAUCAUUAAGUUGGGCACUCUGAAAGAACUGCCAGUGAUAAGCUGGAGGAAGGUGGGGAUGACGUCAAGUCCUCAUGGCCCUUACGUGUUGGGCUACACACGUGCUACAAUGGUAUCUACAACAGGAAGCAAGACGGCGACGUUAAGCAAAUCCUUAAAAGAUACCUCAGUUCGGAUUGCACUCUGCAACUCGAGUGCAUGAAGCUGGAAUUACUAGUAAUCGUGGAUCAGCGUGCCACGGUGAAUGCGUUCCCGGGUCUUGUACACACCGCCCGUCACACCAUGGGAGUUGGUUCUACCUUAAGGCAAGGUUUAAAAACCCUUGACCACGGUAUAGUCAGCGACUGGGGUGAGUCGUAACAAGGUAGCCGUAAGGGGAACCUGCGGCUGGAUUACCUCCUUUCUAGGAUGAAUAAAAGUAAUAUUUUAUUCUAAAUAAUAUACACGGUUAAUGUUGACCGUCCUCAUUUCUCUUCUUAAGUUAGUGUUUCUUUUGCAUGGGGGCCGGUAGGUCAAUUGGUUAGAACCCCCCCUUGAUAAGGGGGGGGUUGAAAAUUUGAGUUUUUUUUGGCCCCCCCAAAGAUAAAGCUUAAGGGGGAUUAUCUCAGGGGGGAGAGCGCGUGAUUCGCUUUCAGGAUGUCAGCGGUUUAGAUCCCGCUCUCCUCCCCCAACCAUUUAGUUAUACAAAUUGUGAAUAAGAUAAUAAUUAAUAUCAAUAUCUAUAUCCGAACAUUAGUAAUGUUAUUAGCUAAUGUUCAAAUAAAAAUUUAAUUCAACACAGAAUUUUUUUCUG